GGAGAAUGUGGCUCUGUGGUAGAGCAUCUGCUUUGCAUGCAGAAGGCUCCAGGUUCAAUCCCUGGUAUCUCCA